CUCCAUUCUUUCGCUCCAGAUCCGCCACCCACCCCAAUCCCUCUCCCCCAUCCAGAUCGACAACGACGGCCCCCCGUCGCCGCCCACUCCUUCCCAUCCCGCCGCGGCGAGGAGAUCCAUUCCCGCCGCCGCCGUCGCCCCGCCCCCUUCUCCCCGAUUCAGACCACAUCCUCCCACCAUAGCUCGCCGCCGGGCCUCCUCCUUCCCUUCUCGCAGAUCCAGAGCUGUGAGAUCCGUCUCUCUCCGACCUCGAGGUCGACUGGGAGGGGCGCAAUCCAGGAGCAGCGGGCUACACGCUGGCGGAGAGCGGCCAGCAGCUGCUGCAGGGAGGGGGCUGCUUCUCCCCGGUGUCGGAGCUCGUCGGGCGGGCAGAGGCCGCCGCGUCGGCGGCCGCCUCGGAGAUCUCCGAGACGUACUCCGCCGUCGCCAACGCGCUCAGCUCCGUCGUCGCGGCCGUGGUGCGCGCGCCGCCCAAGGACUUCCGCGUCAUCAGGCAGGAGUGGGCGGCCAUCCGCAUCCAGACCACCUUCCGCGGCUUCCUGAUUCCAUUUGACUUUUGUUGUUACCGCUACAGUUUGUUGUUGGAUGAUGUGUUGGAGCAGCAGCGAGCAAUAGACCUUUUCUCGCAGAAGGUGAAGAGGUCGUCGUUCAGCACGUCAGAUAGGGUUCUCCAGCUGUCGGACUAGGUGGAGGCACUCUUCCUGAAGCACUUCGCGCUCCUCGACCUCGACCUCGAGCUGGCACAGGGGCGAGCUGGCGCAGAUGACGGCGACUGUGCUCCUCGACCUCGAGCUCCGCCCCCGUCCGCCCACGCUCCUCGACCUCGAGCUCUGCCCUCGCCCGCCCGGGCCGCUGGGAGCAAAAGGACUUGCAUAUGGUGUUGACUGACUUGGAGAA